rnacentral:rRNA from 1 species
GCCAGGCCCUACGGGGCGCAGCAGGCGCGAAACCUCCGCAAUGCACGCAAGUGCGACGGGGGAACCCCAAGUGCCACUCUUAACGGGGUGGCUUUUCAGAAGUGUAAAAAGCUUCUGGAAUAAGGGCUGGGCAAGACCGGUGCCAGCCGCCGCGGUAACACCGGCAGCUCAGGUGGUAGCCGCUUUUAUUGGGCCUAAAGCGCCCGUAGCCGGUCUGAUAAGUCUCUGGUGAAAUCCCGCAGCUUAACUGUGGGAAUUGCUAGAGAUACUAUCAUGACUCGAGGUCGGGAGGGGCUGGAGGUACUCCCAGGGUAGGGGUGAAAUCCUGUAAUCCUGGGAGGACCACCUGUGGCGAAGGCGUCCAGCUGGAACGAACCUGACGGUGAGGGACGAAAGCCAGGGGCGCGAACCGGAUUAGAUACCCGGGUAGUCCUGGCCGUAAACGAUGUGGACUUGGUGUUGGGAUGGCUUCGAGCUGCCCCAGUGCCGAAGGGAAGCUGUUAAGUCCACCGCCUGGGAAGUACGGCCGCAAGGCUGAAACUUAAAGGAAUUGGCGGGGGAGCACCACAACGCGUGGAGCCUGCGGUUUAAUUGGAUUCAACGCCGGG